rnacentral:rRNA from 1 species
GUCCUAGCCGUAAACGGUGCACGUUUGCUGUAAAAGGAAUCGACCCCUUUUGUGGCGUAGCUAACGCGAUAAACGUGCCGCCUGGGAAGUACGGUCGCAAGAUUAAAACUCAAAGAAAUUGACGGGGGCCUGCACAAGCGGUGGAGUAUGUGGCUUAAUUCGAUGCAACGCGAAGAACCUUACCUGGCCUUGACAUGCAAGUAGUAGAAGGAUGAAAGUCUGACGAGGUAGCAAUACCAGCUUGCACAGGUGCUGCAUGGCUGUCGU